UACGUAGGAUCCAAGCGUUGUCCGGAUUUACUGGGUGUAAAAGGGUGCGCAGGCGGACUUAUAAGUCAGAGGUGAAAUCUCACUGCUCAACAGUGAAACUGCCUUUGAUACUGUAGGUCUUGAAUUAGGGAGAGAUUCGUGGAAUUCCGAGUGUAGCAGUGAAAUGUGUAGAUAUUCGGAAGAACACCAGUGGCGAAGGCAGCGAAUUGGCCCUAUAUUGACGCUCAGGCACGAAAGCAUGGGGAGCAAACAGG
rnacentral:rRNA from 1 species